UGGGGGAUAUUGCACAAUGGGCGAAAGCCUGAUGCAGCGACGCCGCGUGGGGGAUGAAGGCCUUCGGGUUGUAAACUUCUUUUGCUCUGAACAAGGCAUGCUAAUGGGUGUGUUGAGUGUAGGGGUUGAUUAGCGCCGGCUAACUACGUGCCAGCAGCCGCGGUAAUACGUAGGGCGCGAGCGUUGUCCGGAAUUAUUGGGCGUAAAGGGCUUGUAGGUGGCUGGUUGCGUCUGUCGUGAAAGCUCAUGGCUUAACUGUGGGUUUGCGGUGGGUACGGGCUGGCUUGAGUGCAGUAGGGGAGGCUGGAAUUCCUGGUGUAGCGGUGGAAUGCGCAGAUAUCAGGAGGAAUACCGGUAGCGAAGGCGGGGCUCUGGGCUGUUACUGACACUGAGGAGCGAAAGCAUGGGGAGCGAACAGG
rnacentral:rRNA from 1 species